UGAAAAGCAUCAGAUACCGCUACAAGAUAGC
rnacentral:piRNA from 1 species